rnacentral:rRNA from 1 species
CAAGCGUUGUUCGGAAUUACUGGGCGUAAAGGGCUCGUAGGUGGCCAACUAAGUCAGACGUGAAAUCCCUCAGCUUAACUGGGGAACUGCGUCUGAUACUGGAUGGCUUGAGUUUGGGAGAGGGAUGCGGAAUUCCAGGUGUAGCGGUGAAAUGCGUAGAUAUCUGGAGGAACACCGGUGGCGAAGGCGGCAUCCUGGACCAACACUGACACUGAGGAGCGAAAGCUAGGGGAGCAAACGGG